rnacentral:lncRNA from 1 species
CCACUGUCAAAACUUGCAAAUCCUCCUAAUGCGUCUUUCUUUUCAACUUUAAAGAGCGUGUGAGAGAUGUGGCACACGCCUGUGAUCCCAGCUACUUGGGAGGCUGAGGCAGGAAGAUUGCAAGUUCAAGGCUGGUCUGAGCAACUUAACAGCCUUUCACCAAGAAACUGAAAAGAACUGAGUAAGAAGAAUCCCUGAGUCCAAUCAUCAGAGCUGAAAGAGGGAGAGAAAGAAGAAAGACAGAGAGAGAGAGAGUCUGAAGAUUUAGGAGGAUGCAAACGUUAGCUCUGAAUUGGGAUUUGGAGACUAAGGCUGGAUUUCCAGUUUUCCAGUCGGAGACCUCACUAGGAGAGCCCGAAGAUAACUCCAGAAAUAAAUCUUGGUUUUUACCCUGAUGCUGGAUCUCUCUCCCAAGCUCCUGCCCUCUUUAUCUGAUCGCAAGGCCUUAUGUCCCCCAGGAUGGCGCCCUUCAAAAGCAACAUGGCCAAUCAAGUCCAGAUUAAUCUUGGGUUUGGUUUGUUUUCUAGACUUUCCAUAAAUCACUGCGGGUGUUUCUCUGGAAAGGGACAAUGGUAGUUCCCAGUGAGUUGCUUCAGGCCCUCCCACCAGCCUCUGCCCAGCCAAACCGCUGCCCCUCCUCCUGGUUCUCUGUUUGGUGAACAGCACCUCCAGCCUUUCCUCUGGGCCAAAGUCCUAGAGUCCAGCUCCUAAAAAAUGCCUUCUCUCCUGUCUCCACUCCCACCACCAAGGCCUUGGGGAUCUUCUCACCUUCAUCCUCGGUCUGUCCGUAGUCUCCUAAUGGGUCCUCUGUCACAGUCUCCUAAUGGGUCCUGGCCUUUCCGCUGUCUGUUACCAGAGCAAUCUUUUGAGCACCUAAGUCUGGUUUUGCCAUUUGCUCCUGGGGUUCUCUGGGAACUCAAGAGGGGCUCCCUGCCCCUUGGCUGUAACGAGGCCCGUGGCCUCUUCUCUGGGUGUCACUCACACCUGCCCUCAGGGCCACCACCCUCCUCCUUCAAGCUCUAUGACCAGCCACCCAAGCCCUGGGAGGUCCCCUACCAGCCACCUCUUCUGCGUGCCCUUGUUCUGCCAUCAUGGUCCUGGGUCCGUCCCUCUGCUUUUGACCUGGUGACAACCUACAUAAGAAUCCAGGAAGACUCUUCUCUCUGUGAAAAGGAGCACCCCAGAUGUCCCCCACAGAGUGC